AGUGAGAAUGCCGGAAUGAGUAGCGAGAAUUAUGUGAGAAUCAUAAUGGCCGAAAAUCUAAGGUUUCCUGAGGAAGGUUCGUCCGCUCAGGGUAAGCCGGGAGCUAAGGCGAGGCGGAGACGCGUAGCCGAUGCACAUACGGUUGAAAUUCCGUAGCCACCGAAAGAUUUAAGUACAGGGACGCUUUAGAAGUGAUGUUGCCGGGCGAUGGUUGACCCGGUCGUAAGGGAUCGAAAAUGAGUAGAGAAGUCAUCAUGGAAAGAGACAAGAAAAGCUGUAUGAAUAUCUUAGGUGCCCGUACCGCAAACCGACACAGGUAGAUAGGAAGAAGAUUCUAAGGCCAACGGGAGAAGGGUUGUUAAGGAACUCGGCAAGUUGACCCCGUAACUUAGGGAUAAGGGGUGCUCAAGUGAUUGAGCCGCAGAGAAUAGGCCCAGGCGACUGUUUAGCAAAAACACAGGUCUCUGCUAAAUCGAAAGAUGACGUAUAGGGGCUGACACCUGCCCGGUGCCGGAAGGUUAAGAGGAGAUGUGAGAGCAUUGAAUUGAAGCCCCGGUAAACGGCGGCCGUAACUAUAACGGUCCUAAGGUAGCGAAAUUCCUUGUCAGGUAAGUUCUGACCCGCACGAAAGGUGUAACGAUCUGGGCACUGUCUCAACAACCCGCCCGGCGAAAUUGUAGUACCGGUGAAGAUGCCGGUUACCCGCGACUAGACGGAAAGACCCCAUGGAGCUUUACUGUAGCCUAAUAUUGGAUUUCGGUAUUUCACGUACAGGAUAGGUGGGAGACUGGGAAGCACAGGCGUCAGCUUGUGUGGAGUCGACCUUGGGAUACCACUCUUGGAGUGCUGGAAUUCUAACCUGCGGCUUUGAAGCAAGUCGGGGGACAUUGUUAGGUGGGCAGUUUGACUGGGGCGGUCGCCUCCUAAAGAGUAACGGAGGCGCUCAAAGGUUCGCUCUGCAUGGAUGGAAACCAUGCGUCAGAGUGUAAACGCAAAAGCGAGCCUAACUGCGAGAAUGACGGUUCGAGCAGUAACGAAAGUUGGAGUUAGUGAUCCGGCGGUAUGUGAAUGGAAAUGCC
rnacentral:rRNA from 1 species